rnacentral:tRNA from 1 species
GCCAGCGUGGCGUAGUGGUUUGAGUGUGUGACUACAACUCUGGAGACCAGGGUUCGAUUCCCACCUCAGCCA